GUGAAUUUUAUCUUGGGACUGAAUUUCAUGGGGGUUCAGAGCAAUAAACAGAAUCUAUGCAGUAAGAAACAGUUCCUGUGACUUUGUGAGAGCCUGACGGAAUAUUCACAGCCUCGCCUUCAUUGUAAUUGUAAGUUCUCAGAGAAAGUAAGUAACAGAACCCUGGUAGCAAAGUGGCUUUAACUCUUGAUGAUCAUAUAUUUGCAUGGAAGAUCAUCUGAAGGAAUCAACUUUUACUUCUACUACAACAUUUUUUUCAAGUCUUAGUUCUCCAGAGAGAUAAUUGAAUGACAAAGCAGUACUUUGACUGCAAUGAGAGGAAACCUAAGAAAGAAGCCUGAAGUUCUAAAAAAUUGUUAUUAGCAAGACUGAAAAUCUGAAGACAGUAGGAAGAGAAGAAAAAGUUAAAUACUGGCUGCUUACAGUUUGAAGAAAUGCACAUUUUAUGACAACUGGGGAGCUGAAGAUUGGUCACACAUCUGGCCUGACACCCCUAUUAAAGCUGGAGGUCAUGAUAUUCUGAACCUGCCUAAAGUCAACUAUGAAACCCUGAUCCUUAAGAGUUUAAACAUGGGCUUGAUUUGAUUCAUGGGAACACUAGGAAGAGCCACUGGGAUGGCUUAUGAUAUGUGAAGGUAAAUGUGUGUGUAGGUCUUGCUAGAAGUAGGUUCCUUGGAAUGAAUACCUUUGUCUCACUUCAUGGAACAGGUGACAAAAUGAAGUCCAGUAUGUUAUUGUUCCACUCACCAUUAUAAACAAAAAAGUUGUACAGGAGCAGGAUGACCUGGAGUGUGGCUUAGAGCUAUUGCUCUAUGGCACAUUAUAGCUGUCAGCGCUGAGCGUGGAGGCAAAGA
rnacentral:lncRNA from 1 species